rnacentral:lncRNA from 1 species
UAAACUGGUGAAUGAUAGUAAGAAAAGUUCAUUGUCUUCUGGUAAGUGCUAAAUGAAUAAACAGUCCAGGAUAUGGCUAACCUGGACUAUUAUAGUAUCUAACACUAUUUAAAUAAUUAUUUAUAUUGAACGAUGUGUCCCAAAUGCUACAGGCCCUCUCUUUUCAGAACGGGAACUCAGUGGGGUCAGAGUCUUCAGUGAAUCCAUGACACAAGGUCUAGGGAGAGCCACACCAUGGCAGGAGCUCUGGGGCACUCCUGAAGUAUGGGGGAUACUGAUGGUUCUCAGAGAUGUGAGCUUGUAUGACUCCUUCCCCUGCAGGAAGGACCAAGUUCUCAGUGGAGUACAAGAUUUAACUGAUCCUCACAAAAGAAACCACAGAUCGAAGGCAAUUCUCGUGAUAUGGGCUCAAGAGAACAAGAAAGUGGAGGGGCUAACUCUCCUAACAGGAGACACAUUUGCAGGUUUCAUCCUAUAAGACUUGUUGUGGAUUUCUGACUGGAUGGCCCAUUACUCCUGGAGACUAGAUGUGUUGCACUGUAAAGCAAGCUAUAAAAUGGAAGAGACCCAACCAAGCUUUUCUCAGUAUGUAUGUAUCAAGAUUUGUUAUCCAUUAACCAGUUCAUGAACACUUGAAGGCAAUUUGUAUUAUCCUUUUAACGUCUGUAGGGACUGUAGU